rnacentral:rRNA from 1 species
CAGUCGCCGCGGUAAUACAGAGGUCCCAAGCGUUGUUCGGAAUCACUGGGCGUAAAGGGUGCGUAGGCGGCGCGGAAAGUCAGGGGUGAAAUCCCGGAGCUCAACUCCGGAACUGCCUUUGAUACUCCCGCGCUUGAGAACUGGAGGGGAGACCGGAAUUCACGGUGGAGCAGUGAAAUGCGUGGAUAUCGUGAGGAACACUAGUGGCGAAGGCGGGUCUCUGGACAGUAUCUGACGCUGAGGCACGAAGGCCAGGGGAGCGAACGGGAUUAGAUACCCCCGUAGUCCCUGUCCUUAUACA